rnacentral:SRP_RNA from 1 species
GCCGGGCCCGGUGGCGCGUGCCUGUAAUCCCAGCUACCCGGGAGGAGGAUCGCUUGAGUCCAGGAGUUCUGGGCUGUAGUGCGCUAUGCCGAUCGGGUGUCUGCACUAAGUUCGGCAUCAAUAUGGUGACCUCUCGGGAACAGGGGACCACUAGGUUGCCUAAGGAGGGGUGAACCGGUCCAGGUCGGAAACGGAGCAGGUCAAGAUGUAGGAUUUUAAUACUCCUUAGAGAUCAGCUAUCUCGGUGGUUUCCAAAAGACUCUU